rnacentral:rRNA from 1 species
GGCUAACGCUGGCGGCGUGUCUUAGCCAUGCAAGUCGAGCGGACUUAUGGGGUAACUUAUAAGUCAGCGGCGGACGGCGGAGUAACACGUAGCUAACCUACCCUCUGGACGGGGAUAACCUACCGAAAGGUGGGCUAAUACCCGAUGUAGUCAUCCUGUAUAGGGGUGAUGAAAGGUGGGCUUCUGUUUACAAGCUCAUGCUGGAGGAGGGGGCUGCGGCCUAUCAGGUAGUUGGUAGGGUAAUAGCCUACCAAGCCGAUGACGGGUAGCCGGCCUGAGAGGGUGACCGGCCCGAGGGGCACUGAGAUACGGGUCCCACUCCUACGGGAGGCAGCAGGCUAGAAAUUUGGGCAAUGGGGGAAACCCUGACCCAGUGACGCCGCGUGCAGGAAGGAGCCCUUCGGGGUGUAAACUGCUGUCGUGUAGGGAGAAGGGUACUAAGGUGAACAAUCUUAGUACUUGACGUACUACAGGAGGAAGCCCAGGCUAACCUCGUGCCAGCAGCCACGGUAAGAUAGCGUACU